AUUGAACGCUGGCGGCAGGCCUAACACAUGCAAGUCGAACGGUAACAGGAAGAAUCUUGCUUCUUUGCUGACGAGUGGCGGACGGGUGAGUCAUGUCUGGGAAACUGCCUGAUGGAGGGGGAUAACUACUGGAAACGGUAGCUAAUACCGCAUAACGUCGCAAGACCAAAGAGGGGGACCUUCUUGCCUCUUGCCAUCGGAUGUGCCCAGAUGGUAUUAGCUAGUAGGUGGGGUAACGGCUCACCUAGGCGACGAUCCCUAGCUGGUCUGAGAGGAUGACCAGCCACACUGGAACUGAGACACGGUCAAGACUCCUACGGGAGGCAGCAGUGGGGAAUAUUGGACAAUGGGCGCAAGCCUGAUGCAGCCAUGCCGCGUGUAUGAAGAAGGCCUUCGGGUUGUAAAGUACUUUCAGCGGGGAGGAAGGGAGUAAAGUUAAUACCUUGGCUCAUUGACGUUACCCGCAGAAGAAGCACCGGCUAACUCCGUG
rnacentral:rRNA from 1 species